rnacentral:rRNA from 1 species
AGGAUCAUUAUUGAAUAAACUUGGUUGGGUUGUUGCUGGCUNUUCGGAGCAUGUGCACGCUCACUCCAUUUUUAACCACCUGUGCACCUUGUGUAGAUCUGAACAACUCUCGGGGAAACUCGGUCAGAGGAUUGCUGUGUGUAAAAGCCAGCUUUUCUUGGGUUCAGAUCUAUGUCUCUAUAUACACCAUAAGAAUGUAUUGGAAUGUAAUUUUAGGCGUUACAGCCUUUAAAAUCAAAUACAACUUUCAACAACGGAUCUCUUGGCUCUCGCAUCGAUGAAGAACGCAGCGAAAUGCGAUAAGUAAUGUGAAUUGCAGAAUUCAGUGAAUCAUCGAAUCUUUGAACGCACCUUGCGCUCCUUGGUAUUCCGAGGAGCAUGCCUGUUUGAGUGUCGUGAAAUUCUCAACCUNUCUGGUUUUUAUAAGCUAGUUAGGCUUGGAUUUUGGAGGUUGCUGGCUUCUCAGAAAUCAGCUCUUCUUAAAUAUAUUAGCAAAGUCUUUGCUGACCAUCUUUGGUAUGAUAAUUAUCUAUAUCAUUGAGAAUCAGCUUCCGUCUCGGAAGGAUUUUGCUUCUAAUAGUCUAUAUAGACAACUUGACAAUUUGACCUCAAAUCAGGUAGGACUACCCGCUGAACUUAAGCAUAUCA